AAAAAAAACUAUCUAAGAAAAUUGCACAAAAAAAACUAACCAUAAACUUGAGACCAUACUUCCAACUUACCCUACAUACUUUGUAUCCCACACUUGUUUGACAAAGAAGACACCUCAAUCUACAUAUAAAAGAAGCAAAUAUAGCUCGGCUAUUUUCACCCCUAAUUAACCAUCCGACCACCAUUGUCUUACUGCCCCUGUCUAAUGGUUGCAAAAAUAACUAAUUUCCUUACGCCGUACAAGCACCCCGCCACAUGUUUUUCCACCCACAAAAUACGUAUACUGCAGACACAACAAUUAGAAGUCCAACUUCUAACACAAUGCAAAACCACUACACGUCGAGGGACACACAAGCCAAACACAUUUCAUAUAAUACAACAC
rnacentral:lncRNA from 1 species